rnacentral:misc_RNA from 1 species
UAGAUGUAAUAUCUCUGUAAAUAAUACAUAGAUAAAAUACAUAAUUUUUUCCUUCAUUACUUGUAUUCUCUCUUCUAACAUGGACAAAAGAACUGAUUUUUAGUGCUCUUGGAUAAAUUUUUCACUUUUUUUUCAUGGGUGUGAGACCCAUAAUAUUAUAUAGAAUGAACAAAGUACAUAGUAAUUCUUCCAAUAAGCAACCUCACCGCGUAAAUCUUCAUUUCCUCGUCAACACAUGCUCGCUGGAACUUUUCGUUAGUUAAUCUCGUGUUCCUCGCAUGGCUAGGCUGAAGAUUCAGAAAAUGGCAAGGGCUUGCUCAUAGGCACUCAUUACUUAUUUACUACCUUGUAAGCUCGGAGGGCUUAUACAAGCUUCCAUGUCUUUGCAAUCUGAGUUUGCAUACUUCAAGUAAUUCUCAAUCUCUUUAUUUUCUAAGCUUCCAAGUCUUCGAUGGAACCACUUCUUGUGAUGAUGAUGAUGUUUUGGUCUGCUUUCGCUUAUGGCGAUGGCUAUGUCAUUAGGGAAGAGGUCUCGGAGCACAAAUGCAUGUAUUAUUGUGGUUACAAGCAGAGCUGU